rnacentral:rRNA from 1 species
AUUGAACGCUGGCGGCAUGCUUUACACAUGCAAGUCGAACGGCAGCGCGGGCUUCGGCCUGGCGGCGAGUGGCGAACGGGUGAGUAAUGCAUCGGAACGUGCCCAGUAGUGGGGGAUAGCCCGGCGAAAGCCGGAUUAAUACCGCAUACGACCUGAGGGUGAAAGCGGGGAACCGAAAGGCCUCGCGCUAUUGGAGCGGCCGAUGUCGGAUUAGCUAGUUGGUGGGGUAAAGGCUUACCAAGGCGACGAUCCGUAGCUGGUCUGAGAGGACGACCAGCCACACUGGGACUGAGACACGGCCCAGACUCCUACGAGAGGCAGCAGUGGGGAAUUUUGGACAAUGGGGGCAACCCUGAUCCAGCCAUGCCGCGUGCGGGAAGAAGGCCUUCGGGUUGUAAACCGCUUUUGUUCGGGAAGAAAUCCUCUGGGCUAAUACCCCGGGGGGAUGACGGUACCGGAAGAAUAAGCACCGGCUAACUACGUG